GGAUGAACGCUGGCGGCGUGCCUACUACAUGCAAGUCGAGCGAACGGACGAGAAGCUUGCUUCUCUGAUGUUAGCGGCGGACGGGUGAGUAACACGUGGAUAACCUACCUAUACGACUGGGAUAACUUCGGGAAACCGGAGCUAAUACCGGAUAAUAUUUUGAACCGCAUGGUUCAAAAGUGAAAGACGGUCUUGCUGUCACUUAUAGAUGGAUCCGCGCUGCAUUAGCUAGUUGGUAAGGUAACGGCUUACCAAGGCAACGAUGCAUAGCCGACCUGAGAGGGUGAUCGGCCACACUGGAACUGAGCCACGGUCCAGACUCCUACGGGAGGCAGCAGUAGGGAAUCUUCCGCAAUGGGCGAAAGCCUGACGGAGCAACGCCGCGUGAGUGAUGAAGGUCUUCGGAUCGUAAAACUCUGUUAUUAGGGAAGAACAUAUGUGUAAGUAACUGUGCACAUCUUGACGGUACCUAAUCAGAAAGCCACGGCUAACUACGUG
rnacentral:rRNA from 1 species